AUGAUAUGUGGCCAAGCCUGUUACAAGUCCAAGUAUCUGGUUCACGAAUAUGUUAAUAAAGGGCCUUUAAUGAUCAAACAUACAUGUCUUAUUCCUGGAGAAGAGCUGUUAAUUAGUACUACCCUUGCUGCUCUGGAAUCACAUAUGCUGCACCUAUUUGGUGAUGUGAGUGGCCUGUGCAAUCCUAUUUUAUUGUGGUCCUUGGAUGAUGAACUUGGUGGCAUUCAAAAAGGGUGGUCAUCUAUUCAGUAUAUGCAGCUAGCCAGUGCAUUCCUUGAGGGUUUCGUUGGGCAAGUUUGUUAUGUUUUUGGAGUGAGUGCUACAGGUUUAAUCCAGUAUGUGCAUGCAAGUGGUUUUACAACCAUUUUUAGUUGGGUUGAUCUCUAG
rnacentral:rRNA from 1 species